rnacentral:rRNA from 1 species
ACGGAGGGUGCAAGCGUUGUUCGGAAUCAUUGGGCGUAAAGCGCGCGCAGGCGGCUAAUUAAGUCUGGUGUGAAAGCCCGGGGCUCAACCCCGGAAGUGCACUGGAUACUGGUUAGCUAGAGUACAGUAGAGGAAAGUGGAAUUCCUGGUGUAGGGGUGAAAUCCGUAGAUAUCAGGAGGAACAUCGGAGGCGAAGGCGACUUUCUGGGCUGUAACUGACGCUGAGGCGCGAAAGCGUGGGGAGCAAACAGG